rnacentral:rRNA from 1 species
GAUGAACGCUAGCGACAGGCUUAACACACGCAAGUCGAGGGGCAGCAUAGAAGUAGCAAUACUUUGGUGGCGACCGGCGCACGGGUGAGUAACGCGUAUGCAACCUACCUAUCAGAGGGGAAUAACCCGGCGAAAGUCGGACUAAUACCGCAUAAAACAGGGGCACCGCAUGGUGAUAUUUGUUAAAGAAAUUCGCUGAUAGAUGGGCAUGCGUUCCAUUAGGUAGUUGGUGAGGUAACGGCUCACCAAGCCGACGAUGGAUAGGGGAACUGAGAGGUUGGUCCCCCACACUGGUACUGAGACACGGACCAGACUCCUACGGGAGGCAACAGUGAGGAAUAUUGGUCAAUGGGCGGGAGCCUGAACCAGCCAAGUCGCGUGAAGGAAGAAGGAUCUAUGGUUCGUAAACUUCUUUUGCAGGGGAAUAAAGUGCAGGACGUGUCCUGUUUUGUAUGUACCCUGAGAAUAAGGAUCGGCUAACUCCGUGCCAGCCGCCGCGGUAACAC